AUGGCAAGAAAUGGACACUGUCCCUGCCCUCAGAAGAUUAUCCUCAAGUCUGAUGGAUAUAAUAGCCCAAUGCUAUACAGGUGGUUGCUGUCCUGUGUCACCCUGUGCAGAUCAAACUAUUAUAAACCUCCAGUGUUCUCUGGCUGCCAUGGGAUCCAUGACUCCUGGGACGACUCAGCCAAUUACAGAUGGCGGGACCCUUGGAAGUGCAUCUGCUACACUGGCUCCUUGAUUUCCACAGCAGGCAUCCUAUCAUCAACGGAAGUCAAUUUCAUCCACCUGAUGGGAAAACACCACAUCCUUAGUCAAUGGAAUCGCUCCCUCUGAAACUGACGUUCCACACAAGCAAAUGACCAACUGUGCUGGCGCUGGUGCAGGAUUAAAGAUGAUGAUCCUAUCUUAUGUUUCUACCACCACUCAUCAUUUCUAAGCCAUCAUCAUACAGAAACCACUUGAUCUGCUUCUGAUUCGAGUCUCUUCAGGGGUGGAAGCGUAAUGGCCAGGGACACCAAUAGCUCACAGCCCCUGCAUGCCUGUGAGGAAGGAAACAUCCAGCCCAGAGCCUGGGAUAAACUUUGCUCUGCAGAAAUCGCCCUGAGAUAUUAAAUGUCCACAAAGAGCAGAUGGGAGCCCUUGCUUCUCAGAGUUCUUCCUCCAAAGGCCUCUCACUUCCAGCAUCUGGGGAUUAGCCCUGACCCCCUCUGAAGGAGGAAAGGCUGAGUUGAUUUUGUUUCUGUUCCAGUCGGAGGCUUUGCUCUGACUCCAACUAAGAAGGGUGGGCCACAGCCUGGGUGGGAGCAAAAAGGUUCUCUUCAUAGCCCUGCUGCUGGUGUGGGCUGCUCUUUUCACUCUCUGGACCUGUCUCCCCAUCUGUGAAAUGGGGCAAGGAUGCUGACCACAGAUAAAUUUUUGAGAUUGAAUUUCUGUGUUCAGGGCUUUGAAAUCAAGAACAAAAGAGAUAAUUUGAUCAUAAAGCAUUGUUAGUAUUUUGCACCCACUUCUCUCUGUACUCUAUUGUUCUCUGCUAUAGAAUCUUCU
rnacentral:lncRNA from 1 species